rnacentral:ncRNA from 1 species
AGGCCUGAUGUGUGUGAGAUUACCCGCUGAAUUUAAGCAUAUAAGUAAGCGGAGGAAAAAGAAACUAACUAGGAUUCCCUUAGUAAUGGCGAUGAACAGGAUCAGCUCAGUGCCAAUCGAAUCACUUGUGGUUCUGAAAUGUGGCUUGAAGGCAGUACAGUGGCAUCGCGGACGAAAGUCUCUGGAAAAGAGCGUC